GAUGAAGAACGCAGCGAAAUGCGAUAAGUAGUGUGAAUUGCAGAAUUCAGUGAAUCAUCGAAUCUUUGAACGCACAUUGCGCCCCUUGGUAUCCCGAGGGGCAUGCCUGUUCGAGCGUCAUUUUACCACUCAAGCCUGGCUUGGUGUUGGGCGACGUCCUCUUUGGGGACGCGCCUCGAAACGCUCGGCGGCGUGGCACCGGCUUUAAGCGUAGCAGAAUCUUUCGCUUUGGAAGUCGGGGCCCCGUCUGCCGGAAGACCUGCUCGCAAGGUUGACCUCGGAUCAGGCAGGGAUACCCGCUGAACUUAAGCAUAUCAAUAAGCGGAGGA
rnacentral:misc_RNA from 1 species